rnacentral:rRNA from 1 species
GCAGCAGUGGGAAUUUUGGACAAUGGGCGCAAGCCUGAUCCCAGCAAUGCCGCGUGCGGGAAGAAGGCCUUUCGGGUUGUAAACCGCUUUUGUACGGAACGAAAAGACUCUGGCUAAUACCUGGGGCUGAUGACGGUACCGUAAGAAUAAGCACCGGCUAACUACGUGCCAGCAGCCGCGGUAAUACGUAGGGUGCGANCGUUAAUCGGAAUUACUGGGCGUAAAGCGUGCGCAGGCGGUCUUGUAAGACAGAGGUGAAAUCCCUGGGCUCAACCUAGGAAUGGCUUUUGUGACUGCAAGGCUGGAGUGCGGCAGAGGGGGAUGGAAUUCCGCGUGUAGCAGUGAAAUGCGUAGAUAUGCGGAGGAACACCGAUGGCGAAGGCAGUCCCCUGGGCCUGCACUGACGCUCAUGCACGAAAGCGUAGGGAGCAAACAGGAUUAGAUACCCUGGUAGUCCACGCCCUAAACGAUGUCGACUGGCUGUUGGGCCUUAGGUGGCUCAGUAACGAAGCUAACGCGUGAAGUCGACCGCCUGGGGAGUACGGCCGCAAGGUUGAAACUCAAAGGAAUAGACGG